GACAGAGGGUGCAAACGUUGUUCGGAAUUACUGGGCGUAAAGCGCGUGUAGGCUGCUUGGAAAGUCGGAUGUGAAAGCCCUGGGCUCAACCCUAGGAAGUGCAUUCGAAACUUCUGAGCUUGAGUAUCGGAGAGGAAGGCGGAAUUCUCGGUGUAGAGGGUGAAAUUCGUAGAUAUCGAGAGGAACACCGGUGGCGAAGGC
rnacentral:rRNA from 1 species